rnacentral:tRNA from 1 species
AUCUAAAAUAGCAGAUUAUCGCAUAGGGCUUAAACCCCUACAAAGAAGAACACCACCCUUCUUUUAGA